rnacentral:tRNA from 1 species
GGUGCUGUGGCUUAGUUGGUUAAAGCGCUGUCUUGUAAACAGGAGAUCCUGGGUUCAAAUCCCAGCAGCCUCU